GCCAGUGUGGUGAAAUUGGUAGACACGACGGAUUCAAAAUCCGUUGUCGGUUCGAGUCCGACCACUGGUA
rnacentral:tRNA from 1 species